AGCGAACGCUGGCGGCAGGCCUAACACAUGCAAGUCGAACGCACCCUUCGGGGUGAGUGGCGGACGGGUGAGUAACACGUGGGAACGUGCCUUUUGGUUCGGAAUAACUCAGGGAAACUUGUGCUAAUACCGAAUGUGCCCUUCGGGGGAAAGAUUUAUCGCCAAAAGAGCGGCCCGCGUCUGAUUAGCUAGUUGGUGGGGUAAAGGCCCACCAAGGCUACGAUCAGUAGCUGGUCUGAGAGGAUGAUCAGCCACAUUGGGACUGAGACACGGCCCAAACUCCUACGGGAGGCAGCAGUGGGGAAUCUUGCGCAAUGGGCGAAAGCCUGACGCAGCCAUGCCGCGUGGAUGAUGAAGGUCUUAGGAUUGUAAAAUCCUUUCACCGGGGACGAUAAUGACGGUACCCGGAGAAGAAGCCCCGGCUAACUUCGUGCCAGCAGCCGCGGUAAUACGAAGGGGGCUAGCGUUGCUCGGAAUUACUGGGCGUAAAGGGAGCGUAGGCGGAUAGUUUAGUCAGAGGUGAAAGCCCAGGGCUCAACCUUGGAAUUGCCUUUGAUACUGGCUGUCUUGAGUAUGGGAGAGGUGUGUGGAACUCCGAGUGUAGAGGUGAAAUUCGUAGAUAUUCGGAAGAACACCAGUGGCGAAGGCGACACACUGGCCCAUUACUGACGCUGAGGCUCGAAAGCGUGGGGAGCAAACAGGAUUAGAUACCCUGGUAGUCCACGCUGUAAACGAUGAGUGCUAGUUGUCGGCAUGCAUGCAUGUCGGUGACGCAGCUAACGCAUUAAGCACUCCGCCUGGGGAGUACGGUCGCAAGAUA
rnacentral:rRNA from 1 species